UCUAGUUUAAGCGGCUAAUUACGACUACGUUAGUUUGUCGAGCAGUAUACAGCCGAAAACCGAGAUUUAGAGUUUUUGUUGAAUGACCAGUUGUAUUGUGAUAUCAGACAUGUAGCCUCCACCACUGGUGAGUGAAUCAUGCGGGGGUGGAAAAAGAACCCUUCAAUUGGUAUCUGACAGAUGUAUGUGUGGCUCGGGUGACGGUUAAUAAGAACGAGGUUGGAUGCUGCCAGGUGAUGAGUAUUGGACAAAUAGUACAUAGUAAAUCAGUAAAAUGGAAAAUUAAAAAACAUCAAAAUUCAGCAGAUAAGUGAUAUUAUUUAUCGAGAAAAUAAUUGAGAGCUAAAAC